AACCCAUUAUGAGGACACAUUCUCAAAAAAUCCUUAAAUCUCUCCCAUGCAUCAUAAAAUGUCUCAAACUCAGUUUGAGAAAAAGAAGAUAUGACGUUCCUCAACUU
rfam:Gossypium hirsutum cultivar TM-1 chromosome 11, whole genome shotgun sequence